rnacentral:rRNA from 1 species
UGGGGAAUAUUGCACAAUGGGGGAAACCCUGAUGCAGCGACGCCGCGUGAACGAAGAAGGUAUUCGUAUCGUAAAGUUCUGUCCUAUGGGAAGAUAAUGACAGUACCAUAGAAGAAAGCUCCGGCUAAAUACGUGCCAGCAGCCGCGGUAAUACGUAUGGAUCGAGCGUUGUCCGGAAUUAUUGGGCGUAAAGGGUACGCAGGCGGUUUAAUAAGUCGAAUGUUAAAGAUCGGGGCUAAACCCCGUAAAGCAUUGAAAACUGAUAAACUUGAGUAGUGGAGAGGAAAGUGGAAUUCCUAGUGUAGUGGUGAAAUACGUAGAUAUUAGGAGGAAUACCAGUAUCGAAGACGACUUGCUUGACACAAACUAACGCUGAGGUACGAAAGCGUGGGGAGCAAACAGG